rnacentral:rRNA from 1 species
GGCGGACGGGUGAGUAAUGCUUGGGAACAUGCCUUGAGGUGGGGGACAACAGUUGGAAACGACUGCUAAUACCGCAUAAUGUCUACGGACCAAAGGGGGCUUCGGCUCUCGCCUUUAGAUUGGCCCAAGUGGGAUUAGCUAGUUGGUGAGGUAAUGGCUCACCAAGGCGACGAUCCCUAGCUGGUUUGAGAGGAUGAUCAGCCACACUGGGACUGAGACACGGCCCAGACUCCUACGGGAGGCAGCAGUGGGGAGUAUUGCACAAUGGGCGCAAGCCUGAUGCAGCCAUGCCGCGUGUGUGAAGAAGGCCUUCGGGUUGUAAAGCACUUUCAGUCAGGAGGAAAGGUUAGUAGUUAAUACCUGCUAGCUGUGACGUUACUGACAGAAGAAGCACCGGCUAACUCCGUGCCAGCAGCCGCGGUAAUACGGAGGGUGCGAGCGUUAAUCGGAAUUACUGGGCGUAAAGCGUAC